GGGCCCGUAGUCUAGCCUGGAUUAGGACAUAGGCCUUCGGAGCCUAAGAUCCGGGGUUCAAAUCCCCGCGGGCCCG
rnacentral:tRNA from 1 species